rnacentral:rRNA from 1 species
UCCGUGGGUGGAUAAUUAAGUCAGAGGUGAAAUCCUGCAGCUCAACUGUAGAAUUGCCUUUGAUACUGGUUAUCUUGAGUCAUUAUGAAGUGGUUAGAAUGUGUAGUGUAGCGGUGAAAUGCAUAGAUAUUACACAGAAUACCGAUUGCGAAGGCAGAUCACUAAUAAUGUACUGACACUGAGGGACGAAAGCGUGGGGAGCGAACAGGAUUAGAUACCCUGGUAGUCC